rnacentral:rRNA from 1 species
CUUGGUCAUUUAGAGGAAGUAAAAGGCGUAACAAGGUUUCCGUAGGUGAACCUGCGGAAGGAUCAUUAAUGAACCUUUGAGGGUUGAGCUGGCGAUUAACUUCGCAUGUGCUUGCCCUCUCAAUCUUUAUUACACCUGUGCAUCUCUGAGGGGACAGUAGGCAUAACCUUUUGGUAAUGUCGAGAUCCCCUUUAACAUACACUUUAUUUAUUUAAGAAUGUUCAAACGCUUAACAGCAUUUAAAUACAACUUUUAACAACGGAUCUCUUGGCUCUCGCAUCGAUGAAGAACGCAGCGAAAUGCGAUAAGUAAUGUGAAUUGCAGAAUUCAGUGAAUCAUCGAAUCUUUGAACGCACCUUGCGCUCCCUGGUAUUCCGGGGAGCACGCCUGUUCGAGCGUCAUGAAGCUCUCAAACGCUAUCUUUUUCUUAACUGAGGAGGUAGUCGUUUGGAUUUGGACUCUGCCGUGUAACAAACGGCUGGUCCGAAAGGUAUUAGCUGAUCCUAGUGAAACUUGGUUCUACUCGGCGUGAUAAUUAUCUAACGUCGAGGACAUCGUAAGGGUGGCCAAGUCGAACUUAACGGAUCGCUUCUAAUCGUCUUCAUCGACAACACAUCAUCAAUCUGACCUCGAAUCAGGUGGGACUACCCGCUGAACUUAAGCAUAUCAAUAAGCGGAGGAAAAGAAACUAACAAGGAUUCCCCUAGUAACGGCGAGUGAAGCGGGAUGAGCUCAAAUUUAAAAUCUGGCGUCCUUUGGGCGUCCGAGUUGUAGUCUAGAGAAGCAUUUUCCGUGUCGGACCAUGUACAAGUCUCCUGGAACGGAGCGUCAUAGAGGGUGAGAAUCCCGUUCUUGACAUGGACCCCCGAUGCUAUGUGAUGUGCUCUCAACGAGUCGAGUUGUUUGGGAUUGCAGCUCAAAAUGGGAG